GACGAACGCUGGCGGCGUGGAUUAGGCAUGCAAGUCGAACGGUAUCAUCCUUUCGGGGGUGAGAGAGUGGCGAACUGGUGAGUAGCACGUAGGUUAUCUACCCUCAAGACGGGGACAACCCAGGGAAACUUGGGCUAAUACCGGAUGUGAGCAACUUUUGGUUGUUUGAAAGGUGGCGUAAGCUGUCGCUUGGGGAUGAGCCUGCGUCCUAUUAGUUAGUUGGUGAGGUAACGGCUCACCUAGGCAAUGAUAGGUAGGCGGCCUUAACGGGUGGUCGCCCACACUGGGAUUGAGAUACGGCCCAGACUCCUACGGGAGGCAGCAGUCGAGAAUAGUCUACAAUGGUCGGAAGACUGAUAGUGCGACGCCGCGUGAACGAUGAAUCCCUUCGGGGUGUAAAGUUCUUUUAUAUGUGAGCAGUGCUUCUUAUAUUAACAGUAUGGGGAGAGAGAUAUUAGCAUAUGAAUAAGCAACGGCUAACUCCGUGCCAGCAGCCGCGGUAAACACG
rnacentral:rRNA from 1 species